AUGCUCCGGUACGAGUAUUUCGCCUUGUAUAAAACAGGCACAGUAUUUGCCAUUUCUGUGGCCGGAAGGCAAGCCGCCCGUACAAGGACCAUUCAUUUGCGCGCUCGCCUGGACAAGCACAAUUGUGGAGCCAUGACACCGAAGAGACCUGCAGCGACAGGCCUCCUGCUUGCCGUCCUCCUGCUUCUCGGCUUUCUGGCCUCAGUCCACGCGUGCGACCAGCUGGAGUGCGCCCACCGAUGCCACAGUGCCGCGGCCCAUUGGGGUUCCUGCGUUCGUGGCAUGUGCACCUGCGGAGAGCUGGGACCACCGACCACCGCCAUGCACGUGCCGCCUGGCUUCUUCGGAGAGCCAUUUUAGAAGCCGCUCGCACGAGCUGGCGGCUUCAUUAGAGGGUAUUUCAGACGAAUAAAGUUCGCCUAUAACUCGU
rnacentral:lncRNA from 1 species